GUACACGCUGUGACUAGCAUAUCAAUAAGCGGAGGAAAAGAAACUAACAAGGAUUCCCCUAGUAACGGCGAGUGAAGCGGGAAGAGCUCAAAUUUGAAAUCUUAAAGGGUUUCCCUUUACGAAUUGUAGUUUAAAGAAGUGUUUUCUGUUGAGGUUUUGGUAGAAGUUCUUUGGAAUAGGACAUCAUAGAGGGUGAGAAUCCCGUAUUUGACCUUUACCUUCAACUUUGUGAUACACUUUCAAAGAGUCGGAUUGUUUGGGAAUGCAGUCCAAAAUGGGUGGUAAAUUUCAUCUAAAGCUAAAUAUUGGCGAGAGACCGAUAGCGAACAAGUACCGUGAGGGAAAGAUGAAAAGAACUUUGAAAAGAGAGUUAAACAGUACGUGAAAUUGUCAAAAGGGAAGCGUUUGACACCAGUGUUGUUUUUCUGAAAAUCAAUUAAAGAGCUGUUUAUGCUAAGUUGUUUAGACUUUAUCAGCUAACUGUUUAGUUUUGAGCUUUUCUUUAAUGCACUUUUCAGUUAACAAGUCAACAUCAAUUUCUUUUGCUGUAAAAAAGCUUGAGGAAGGUGGCUUGAGAUUCGUCUUAAGUGUUUAUAGCCUCUUGCCUAUGCAGUCGGAGAGAUUGAGGUCUGCAGCGUAGAUCCUUCGGGGCUAAAUGCAUUUGUGCUAAGUUAUAGCAUUUUAUAGACAACUUGUUGACUAUGAUUUGUCUUGUAGCUUACUCGCUUAUGUUAUUUUACCUACGCUUAGGAUGUUGACAGCAGUAUAGACUGU
rnacentral:rRNA from 1 species